AGGACGAACGCUGGCGGCGUGCCUAACACAUGCAAGUCGAGCGGAGAUAUAUGGAAGGUUUACCGGAAAUAUAUCUUAGCGGCGGACGGGUGAGUAACGCGUGGGCAACCUGCCUCAUACAGGGGGAUAACACAGGGAAACUUGUGCUAAUACCGCAUGAAAUCAUAGUAUGGCAUCAUACAAUGAUCAAAGGAGCAAUCCGGUAUGAGAUGGGCCCGCGUCCGAUUAGCUAGUUGGUGAGGUAACGGCUCACCAAGGCGACGAUCGGUAGCCGAACUGAGAGGUUGAUCGGCCACAUUGGGACUGAGACACGGCCCAGACUCCUACGGGAGGCAGCAGUGGGGAAUAUUGCGCAAUGGGGGAAACCCUGACGCAGCAACGCCGCGUGAAGGAAGAAGGCCUUCGGGUUGUAAACUUCUUUGAUAGGGGACGAUAAUGACGGUACCUUAAAAACAAGCCACGGCUAACUACGUG
rnacentral:rRNA from 1 species